GCAAGUGUAAUAGUUUGUGCGUGUAUAAAACGCUGGUCUGGUUGAUGUUCUGCUGAGCACUGGCAAGUGAACUUGACGGCAAAAGAGCAUUAGUUGGUGAAAAGAUAAUCUCUCCACGAAGGCAACGUCAUAGUAAAAACAAUGGCCAGCAGAUCCGCCUUACUGGUUGUAGCCAUCGCUCUUCUUCUUGUGUGUGGAGGAAGCGCAGUUAUGAGGAAGGCAUACAACUCUGAAACCGCAGCCAGGGCCCUCUUCGAAGCAUCAGAGCGUUCCGGCAGUGCAGCCCACGAAGAACAAGCUCGGGUGGGCAGCAACUGCGUCGCCACGCUCUGCGGCCAGCCGAUGGGGUGAAAAGUCGACGCUUCUUGAGGCAGCGGGCGAGAGUGAUGGUAGAGGGACGUGACUCUGUAAUAAAGGAUGAGUUACGGAAAGGGC